rnacentral:rRNA from 1 species
CCUACGGGAGGCAGCAGUGAGGAAUAUUGGUCAAUGGCCGAGAGGCUGAACCAGCCAAGUCGCGUGAGGGAAGACGGCCCUACGGGUUGUAAACCUCUUUUGUCGGGGAGCAAAGCGAACCACGUGUGGUUCAUUGAGAGUAACCGAAGAAAAAGCAUCGGCUAACUCCGUGCCAGCAGCCGCGGUAAUACGGAGGAUGUGAGCGUUAUCCGGAUUUAUUGGGUUUAAAGGGUGAGCAGGCGGAGGUGCAAGUCAGCGGUCAAAUUGCGGGGCGCAACCCCGUACUGCCGUUGAAACUGCAUCCCUUGAGUGCGCGUGAUGUAUGCGGACUGCGUGGUGUAGCGGUGAAAUGCAUAGAUAUCACGCAGAACUCCGAUUGCGAGGGCAGCAUACCGGCGCGCAACUGACGCUCAUGCACGAAAGCGUGGGUAUCGAACAGGAUUAGAUACCCCUGUAGUC